AGCUUUACACAGUGGCAGUAUCUCAGUCAAUGAAGUUCAUCCAAGGCACAAUUAUUGCUAAUUGAAAAGUUUUGCCAAUACCCCACCACAAUGACUUGAAAUGUUGUCGUCAUUGGCAAUUUUUGACAGUCUCUACAGAGA